GACAGAGGUGCCGAGCGUUAUGCGGAAUCACUGGGCUUAAAGCGUGUGUAGGCGGCGGCGUAAGUACCUUGUGAAAUCCCACGGCUCAACCGUGGAACUGCUCGGUAUACAGCGUCGCUUGAGCCAGCUAGGGGCAACCGGAACAAACGGUGGAGCGGUGAAAUGCGUAGAUAUCGUUUGGAACGCCGAUGGUGAAAACAGGUUGCUGGGGCUGCGCUGACGCUGAGACACGAAAGCCAGGGGAGCGAACGGG
rnacentral:rRNA from 1 species